GAUGAACGCUGGCGGCGUGCUUAACACAUGCAAGUCGAACGGAAAGGCCCUGCUUUUGUGGGGUGCUCGAGUGGCGAACGGGUGAGUAACACGUGAGUAACCUGCCCUUGACUUUGGGAUAACUUCAGGAAACUGGGGCUAAUACCGGAUAGGAGCUCCUGCUGCAUGGUGGGGGUUGGAAAGUUUCGGCGGUUGGGGAUGUACUCGCGGCUUAUCAGCUUGUUGGUGUGGUAGUGGCUUACCAAGGCUUUGAGGGGUAGCCGGCCUGAGCGGGUGCACGGCCACGACGCCUACGAGAUGCGGCAGUGGGGACUACGGGAGGAAGCAGGGAGGCAUGAUGCAGCAUGGGCGGGUGAGUGAUGAAGGACCGCGGCUUGCAGAAUGCUGGUAUUCGGGAUGUAAAACGCUUUCGGCUGUGACGAAGGGUGUGUGGCUGUAAAGUGUAAAGAAGCACCCUCUAUCCAUG
rnacentral:rRNA from 1 species